rfam:Rhizobium sp. Root564 contig_1, whole genome shotgun sequence.
AGAAAGGCUUCCGCGCGGCAACGUUCGGGGGCUUUUUUCUUUUGG